GACGAACGCUGGCGGCGUGCUUAACACGUGCAAGUCGAGCGGUAAGGCCCCUUCGGGGGUACACGAGCGGCGAACGGGUGAGUAACACGUGAGCAAUCUGCCCUUCACACGGGGAUAACUCCGGGAAACCGAAGCUAAUACCCGAUACGACCACUUCAGGCAUCUGAUGGUGGUGGAAAGUUCCGGCGGUGAAGGAUGAGCUCGCGGCCUAUCAGCUUGUUGGUGGGGGAACGGCCCACCAAGGCAACGACGGGUAGCCGGCCUGAGAGGGUGACCGUCCACACUGGGACUGAGACACGGCCCAGACUCCUACGGGAGGCAGCAGUGGGGAAUAUUGGACAAUGGGCGAAAGCCUGAUCCAGCAACGCCGCGUGAGGGAUGACGGCCUUCGGGUUGUAAACCUCUUUCAGCAGGGACGAAGCGCAAGUGACGGUACCUGCAGAAGAAGCACCGGCCAACUACGUGCCAGCCGCCGCCGCGG
rnacentral:rRNA from 1 species